rnacentral:lncRNA from 1 species
UUUCGUCGCUGCGUCUGUUCGCUUCACAUCCCGUCGCCGGCCUCUCGUCUCCUUCUCCUGCGCCUAUAAAAGAGAGGUCGCUCCUCUCCAGAGACGACGCAUCAGAAGUUCCCACUCGCCACCGGUUCUUCUCUCUGUGCUGCUGCUACGUUCUUCCUCAUCCCGUCCUGCGGCGUGCACCGUUCGUCGGGACAGUAGGCCUCCGAAACUCCGUCUCUUCGAGUCCUGUACGGGAGAAGGGAGAUAAGGUUUUUGGGGAGCGCUCAACGCGACUACUAGCUUCCAUCACGGACUCCGACG